CCCGCUGAACUUAAGCAUAUCAAUAAGCAGGAGGACAAGAAACUAACAAGGAUUCGCUUACUAACUGCUAGUGAAGAGGGAAAAGCUCACAUUUAAAAUCUGGCCCUGUUUCAAUGUCCGAGUUGUAACCUACAGAAGUGUAACCUGCGCUGGACCGUGUAUUAGUCUCCUGGAAUGAAGCAUCACAGACGGUGAGAAUCCCGUCUUUGACAUGAUACCACCGGUGCAUUGUGGUUGUGCUCUCAACGAGUCGAGUUGUUUGGGAAUGCAGCUCUCAACGGGUGGUAAAUUCCAUCUAAAGCUAAAUAUUGGCGAGAGACCGAUAGCGAACAAGUACCGUGAGGGACAGAUGAAAAGAACUUUGGAAAGAGAGUUAAACAGUAUGUGAAAUUGUUGAAAGGGAAACGUUUGAAGUCAGUCGCGUUGGUUGGGGAUCAGCCUGACAUUGUUGGGUUUACUUCUUUGUCGAUGGGCCAACAUCAGUUUCGGCUGCCAGAAAAAGGCCAAAGGACUGUGGCACCUUCGGGUGUGUUAUAGCCAUUGGUCGUAUAUGGUGGUUGGGACUGAGGAAAGCAGCGUGCCGAAAGGCCGGGUGUCGACCACGUUCACGCUGAGGAUGUUGGCAUAAUGGCUUUAAGCGACCCGUCUUGAAACACGG
rnacentral:rRNA from 1 species